rnacentral:rRNA from 1 species
AGCGAACGCUGGCGGCAGGCUUAACACAUGCAAGUCGAGCGGGCGUAGCAAUACGUCAGCGGCAGACGGGUGAGUAACGCGUGGGAACAUACCUUUGGUUCGGAACAACACAGGGAAACUUGUGCUAAUACCGGAUAAGCCCUUACGGGGAAGAUUUAUCGCCGAAAGAUUGGCCCGCGUCUGAUUAGCUAGUUGGUGAGGUAAUGGCUCACCAAGGCGACGAUCAGUAGCNGGUCUGAGAGGAUGAUCAGCCACAUUGGGACUGAGACACGGCCCAAACUCCUACGGGAGGCAGCAGUGGGGAAUAUUGGACAAUGGGCGCAAGUCUAGAACCAGCCAU